ACCGGGAAUUGCCCUAGUAACGGCGAGUGAAGCGGCAACAGCUCAAAUUUGAAAUCUGGCCCCCCCGGGGCCCGAGUUGUAAUUUGUAGAGGAUGCUUUUGGGGUGCCUCCGGUCUAAGUUCCUUGGAACAGGACGUCGCAGAGGGUGAGAAUCCCGUAUGUGACCGGCCAGGCCCCCUCUGUAAAGCUCCUUCGAUGAGUCGGGUUGUUUGGGAAUGCAGCCCUAAAUUGGAGGUAAAUUUCUUCUAAAGCUAAAUACCGGCCAGAGACCGAUAGCGCACAAGUAGAGUGAUCGAAAGAUGAAAAGCACUUUGGAAAGAGAGUUCAAAAGCACGUGAAAUUGUUGAAAGGGAAGCGCUCGCCAUCAGUCUCGACGGCGGCCGUUCGGCCCCUCUUCUGAGAGGCUCACUCGGUCGCCGCCGGGCCAGCGUCGGUUCCGGCGGUCGGACAAAGGCGGGGGGAAAGUAGCUCCCUCGGGAGUGUUAUAGCCCCCCGUACAAUACGGCCAGCCGGGACCGAGGUCCGCGCCCCGGCUAGGACGCUGGCGAAAUGGUCGUGAGCGGCCCGUCUG
rnacentral:rRNA from 1 species